rnacentral:rRNA from 1 species
GAUGAACGCUGGCGGCGUGCUUAACACAUGCAAGUCGAACGAGAAAUGGAGACGGAAACCUUCGGGUGGAAGCCUUCAUUUCGAGUGGCGGACGGGUGAGUAACGCGUGGGUAACCUGCCUCAUACAGGGGGAUAACAGUUGGAAACGACUGUUAAUACCGCAUAAGACCACAGCACCGCAUGGUGCGGGGGUAAAAACUCCGGUGGUAUGAGAUGGACCCGCGUUCGAUUAGCCAGUUGGCGGGGUAACGGCCCACCAAAGCGACGAUCGAUAGCCGAUCUGAGAGGAUGACCGGCCACAUUGGGACUGAGACACGGCCCAAACUCCUACGGGAGGCAGCAGUGGGGAAUAUUGCACAAUGGGGGAAACCCUGAUGCAGCGACGCCGCGUGAGUGAAGAAGUAUUUCGGUAUGUAAAGCUCUAUCAGCAGGGAAGAAAAUGACGGUACCUGAGUAAGAAGCCCCGGCUAACUACGUGCCAGCAGCCGCGGUAAUACGUAGGGGGCAAGCGUUAUCCGGAUUUACUGGGUGUAAAGGGAGCGCAGACGGCUCUGCAAGUCUGAAGUGAAAGCCCGCGGCUUAACCGCGGGACUGCUUUGGAAACUGCAAGGCUUGAGUAUCGGAGGGGCAGGCGGAAUUCCUAGUGUAGCGGUGAAAUGCGUAGAUAUUAGGAAGAACACCGGUGGCGAAGGCGGCCUGCUGGACGAAAACUGACGUUGAGGCUCGAAGGCGUGGGGAGCAAACAGG